rnacentral:rRNA from 1 species
CGUAGGGUGCGAGCGUUAAUCGGAAUUACUGGGCGUAAAGCGUGCGCAGGCGGUUUUGUAAGACAGGCGUGAAAUCCCCGGGCUCAACCUGGGAACUGCGUUUGUGACUGCAAGGCUAGAGUAUGGCAGAGGGGGGUGGAACUCCACGUGUAGCAGUGAAAUGCGUAGAGAUGUGGAGGAACACCGAUGGCGAAGGCAGCCCCCUGGGCCAAUACUGACGCUCAUGCACGAAAGCGUGGGUAGCAAACAGGAUUAGAUACCCUGGUAGUCCACGCCCUAAACGAUGUCAACUAGGUGUUGGGUAGGGUAAAACCAUUUAGUACCGGAGCUAACGCGUGAAGUUGACCGCCUGGGGAUACGGCCGCAAGGUUA